rnacentral:rRNA from 1 species
UACAGAGGUGGCAAGCGUUGUUCGGAAUUACUGGGCGUAAAGGGCGCGUAGGCGGCCAUCUAAGUCAGACGUGAAAUCCCCCGGCUUAACCGGGGAACUGCGUCUGAUACUGGAUGGCUUGAGAUUGGGAGAGGGAUGCGGAAUUCCAGGUGUAGCGGUGAAAUGCGUAGAUAUCUGGAGGAACACCGGUGGCGAAGGCGGCAUCCUGGACCAACACUGACGCUGAUGAGCGAAAGCCAGGGGAGCAAACGGG